UUAAAUCUGUAACAUGUCAUAAGUGUGGCAAAAAAGGUCAUUAUGCAAAUAAAUGCAUGCUUAAAAAGAAAAUAAGUACUUUGUCUUUAGAUGAUUCUGUAAAACAGGAAAUUUAUAAUAUUAUUGAGUCUGAAAUUAUAGAUUCUGAUAUAUCUGAUUAUGAUUCUAAUGAAAUAUGUGACAUACAUGAUUCUGAUAUUGAGGAUAGUACUUCUGAAUCUGAAGAAGAAGUAUGCGCUUGUAAAACAAGUAAUGACCCUUAUAUAACUAACUUAAACAUGAAUGGUUUAAGCAUCAAUGUCUUGAG
rnacentral:lncRNA from 1 species